AAGGAUCUGAUGGAUAUCCGAUAGUGAUAUGGAUUUUCGGAUAUAGGGUGGUUGGAUCUGUAAUUGUUUUAUUUUAGUGAGGAUAAGUUUGUAUUUUAACCAAUUUUCGAUUUUUUUAAUUAAAUUUUUUUUUUUCCUUUUGGUCAAACCCUUAAGAGAAUAGAAGAAGGAGUCAAAGGGUACAAGAGAUUUUAGUCCCAUUUGGAGGCUGUAAAAAGAAUCAUCAAGUAUGUCAAAGGGACAGUUGAUCUUGGUAUCUGGUACUCUAAAGGAUCUAAAUAAUCUAGUUGGGUAUUGUGAUGCAGACUAUGCAGGAAGUGUUGUUGAUCGAAAGAGC
rnacentral:lncRNA from 1 species